CUGAACACCACACACUAGCACGCACACACAUUUACACCUUCACAUACAGACCAUGUGCAAUAACUAGUACUUUUAGUUUGUACAUUUCUUCUAUUUUAUGAUUGUAUUGUUUUACUCUUUAUUUCUUGUUUGUUAAAUUUAGAUUUAUGUUUACUGGGUGAACUGCAGCUAAAAAUUUCAUUGUUCUUUUUACACAAU